GUGCUCUCUUAGGCAGCAGAUAUACUAAAAUCUGAAUGAUACAGAGAUUAGCAUGGCCCCUACACAAGGAUGACAUGUAAAUUUGUGAAGUGUUCCAUAUUUUU
rnacentral:snRNA from 1 species